GUCCAGGGUUCAAGUCCCUGUUCGGGCG
rnacentral:piRNA from 9 species